GGAUGCAGAUUACUGAAGUUUUUUUUCUGCCUGCUGGUGAGCGCGCGCGUGGAGCAGAGCACGCGGAGAGAGAGAGCGCCCACGCCACACUUUCACGCGCCGAAAAGCGUUUUAAUGUGACGCAUCCUCAAACAGCAGCCGCUUUAUCUGGCUUGUGCUUUAAUAUUAAUUGAAAUUAAAACAGUGCUAGAAAAGAAAUUGAAAUGGAAUAGACACGACGCUUAAAUGGACUAUAGCUAUGUGAUGACAUUUGUGCACGAGCCGCAGAUUUCUGUUGACUUAAUGGGCAAAGAAAAAAGGCAGAGGAUGAUCUAUGCACUUCGUUAACUACCAGCAUUGGAGUUCUAGAUUGUGAUGUCCUCAACGCAAAAAACGGCAGACUCCAACAAUAAGGAACGUGACAGGGGCCUGCCUAUAUAUUCUACCACACAUCCUCGAACUACAGGUUUCUCAGAGCAGGUGUAUGAAAAGGGAUAUUUCAACAAUUGCGUGUGUUUUUGACGACCAAACUGGACUUGGACUCUGAGGAAGAUCUCAAAGCAUCGUCUAGCAUUUUUAAGCUUUUGGAGAGGUCAAAGUACAUCAACAGGUCAUAAUUCAUCUCACUCUAAACCUCUUCCUAUUGUAAUGUGUGGACUUUCUUUAUCACAUAUUGUCCAGUAAUUCAGUUACAGAACUUCAAGUUUUGUCUAGAGCAAAAUGACCCUUUCUUUGGGCUCUUGCCUUGAGACUGGAUGAAACCAGACUUGAGGUGGAUAUGUGACAGUGACAGAAUGCCACUUGUGACUGUUUGAAUUAUUUCAAUGUCUAAUAUGACUGGGAAAUGGACUUGCUCUGUGUCACAGAGUUAUAUUUGCUCAAUAUCGAAGACAACUGGUCACAACUAUGGAGUUAUAGGAAAUGCUGACUAGUUUUCAUAUUAAUUGCAUGUCUCUCUUGUGUCUUUAAACAUCCGUCCAUUUAAAUAAGGAAAUGUGAAGAGGUUCUAAAGGGAAAAAUCGGUCUGUAUAUGCAUGCUGUUAUAUUCC